AACCUGCCGCUUCUCCUCCCCCGGGACGCGGUAGCGCCGCCGUCCCUGGCAGCUGGCCCGGCCCGUGCUUCUCCUUGGCCCCGGGACCGUCCGGGGCAGGAAGCCGCGUCCCCUUCAGCUCGCGGGGGAGCCUGCGGGUCCUUCGCCAGCUCCCCGCGCCCGUCCCCGCGUGGGAUCCGCUGGCCGCGGCGGUUUGCGGCCGCCCGACCACCCGCCGUCCUGGUGCCGGCCUCCGGGGACGUGUAGCUGUUGUGUAGCGUCGGGGAGGGCUUGAUUCGGCCGAGCCGCGAGCCACCGUGCUGCUACUGCUGGGGGCGCCAGCUAUUUUUUAAAAUUAUUUAUUUAUUUAUUUGACAGAAGGGCAGGCGGAGGGAGAGCGAGAAGUAGGCGCUUCGCUGAGCGCGAGGUGGGGCUCGAUCCCGGCACGAGCUGAAGGCCGCCGCUUCAUGGGCUGAGCCACCCGCGCCCCGGGUGCACCGGGUUCCGUCUCGACUGAUACACAGACGGGGUCUGUCCUCACCCGCCCCUACUGACACUUGCGCCGAUCUCCUCAGAAACGGUUUCUGUAUGAAAAGGGUCCAUAAUACGAACAGCUGCCCAGACCCGCUAAUAAGCUUAAAAGACACGACAUUGCAGAUAGGAUCCAGCCUGCGCCCCGGCACCCGUUCCCCCGCCCUCCCCCGAGUUUAGACUUUGUAUCUUCUGUUCGUGUUCCUAGGCAUGUCUUCCUUGUUCUCUGCGUAAACCAAGUGUGAUGUUGUUCUGUGUGCUGUAAACUUUUUGUAAUAAGGGCGCCUGGGGGCUCAGGUCCUGAUCCCGGGUCCUGGGACCCAGCCCUAUGCCAACAGGGAGUCAGCUUAUCCCUCUCCCUCUGCCCUUCCCCCGUGCUCAUGCUCUCUCUCUCUAGUAAAUAAAUAAAACCUUUAAGGAAAUAAUUGUUUUUCUAAUCAAUUAGGAGUGCCUGGCUGACCCAGUCAGAAGAGCAUGUUAACUCCUGAUCUUGGGCUCGUUAAGUUCAAGUCCUACAUUGGGUGUACAGAUAA